AUUGAACGCUGGCGGCAGGCCUAACACAUGCAAGUCGAGCGGAUGAAGGGAGCUUGCUCCUGGAUUCAGCGGCGGACGGGUGAGUAAUGCCUAGGAAUCUGCCUGUUAGUGGGGGAUAACGUCCGGAAACGGGCGCUAAUACCGCAUACGUCCUGAGGGAGAAAGUGGGGGAUCUUCGGACCUCACGCUAUCAGAUGAGCCUAGGUCGGAUUAGCUAGUUGGUGGGGUAAAGGCCUACCAAGGCGACGAUCCGUAACUGGUCUGAGAGGAUGAUCAGUCACACUGGAACUGGGACACGGUCCAGACUCCUACGGGAGGCAGCAGUGGGGAAUAUUGGACAAUGGGCGAAAGCCUGAUCCAGCCAUGCCGCGUGUGUGAAGAAGGUCUUCGGAUUGUAAAGCACUUUAAGUUGGGAGGAAGGGCAGUAAGUUAAUACCUUGCUGUUUUGACGUUACCAAAAGAAUAAGUACCGGCUAACUUCGUG
rnacentral:rRNA from 1 species